rnacentral:lncRNA from 1 species
AUGCGAGCUGUGAGUUUUCAGUCAAAAAAAGAAGACCUUGGAGCCUUCCAAUACAGGAAAUGUCAAUGCAAAAGGAGUCCCCAUUUUCUGCGAGUGCGUUGGUGGAUUGGAAAGACAAAGCAGUUACCAAUUAGACUAAAGCAGAGCUUCAGGUCAUGUGGAUCAAGGAAAUUUCUAAGAAAAAAAAUGGAAUGGGGAAAGAAGGCAAUUAUCAAAAGGAGAAAAAUAAAAAUGAAUUUAAUACAUGCUUCGUUUCAAAACUAUGAACUGGAGAGGGCUUUUAUAUCUCCACAUAACAGCAAGCAGUUGUUCUAUGGAAGAUGCAAGAACCAAAAAAAAAAGGAAAAGAAAAGAAAAUCAGCUCUGCAGGAUAGAGCAGCUGAGGGGAACUUGCAUUGA